AGUAGGGAAUCUUGCGCAAUGGGCGAAAGCCUGACGCAGCCAUGCCGCGUGAAUGAUGAAGGUCUUAGGAUUGUAAAAUUCUUUCACCGGGGAAGAUAAUGACGGUACCCGGAGAAGAAGCCCCGGCUAACUUCGUGCCAGCAGCCGCGGUAAUACGAAGGGGGCUAGCGUUGCUCGGAAUUACUGGGCGUAAAGGGCGCGUAGGCGGACAGUUUAGUCAGAGGUGAAAGCCCAGGGCUCAACCUUGGAAUUGCCUUUGAUACUGGCUGUCUUGAGUUCGGGAGAGGUGAGUGGAAUGCCGAGUGUAGAGGUGAAAUUCGUAGAUAUUCGGCGGAACACCAGUGGCGAAGGCGACUCACUGGCCCGAUACUGACGCUGAGGCGCGAAAGCGUGGGGAGCAAA
rnacentral:rRNA from 1 species